GCUGGUAUGGUGGCACAGGUGUAUAACCCCAGCUUAACCUGGUAGAUCCUUGAAUCUUGGAGUUCUGAACUGCUAUGGUUAUUAUGCUAUUGGUUAUGCCAACUGGGUGUCCACACUAAAUCUGGCAUUGGUAUGGUGAGCCUCUGGGAGCAGGGGACCACCAGGUUGCCUAAGGAGCAGCAAACCAGCCCAGAUCGGACACAAGAGCAGGGUAAAGCUCCCAUGCUAGUGAAUAGUGGGAUCAGGCCUAUGAAUAGCUCUUGCAUUUCCAGCCCAGGCAAGAUGGAGAGAGCCAGUCUUA
rnacentral:SRP_RNA from 1 species